UACGAAGGGGGCUAGCGUUGCUCGGAAUCACUGGGCGUAAAGCGCGUGUAGGUGGAUUGGUGUGUCAGAUGUGAAAGCCCUGGGCUCAACCCAGGAACUGCACCUGAAACUACCAGUCUUGAGUGGUGGAGAGGGAAGUGGAAUUCCUGGUGUAGAGGUGAAAUUCGUAGAUAUCAGGAGGAACACCGAUGGCGAAGGCAGCUCGCUGGGACGGUACUGACGCUGAGGCGCGAAAGCGUGGGGAGCGAACAGG
rnacentral:rRNA from 1 species